GCGGGGUGUACCUGGAAAAGGAACAGGAUGAAUGAUAAACAGGAGGGAAUGUUGGAGAAAAUGAUUUUAUUACCAUUUAUGGAUAUGUUUCUUUAUAACCAAUACUUUGCUUCUUCCGUAUAUCAACAUAAAAAGAAUAUGUACUGUUCUUUUGAUCUUAAAACCCCCCACCCUUUAGAGGUUGGGGUGGUGGAAAGUUUUGCUUAUCUAUUUAGAACACAGUUUUUUCUAUAGUCUAGUUUAAAGAUGUUUUUAGAUGUGUGUGUAUGUGUGUGUUACAUUCAUGACGUAUGUUGUCUUGCACUUAUCUUUUUCAGGGUGUUGACCCAUCUAAUAAAAUGAGCUUGCAGACAAAGAAUCAGAGAGAGACAGCUUGAGUAUUUCUUGAAGAGAAAUCUCUCUGGUUCUUUCCCUCGCGAGUUUUAAACCUUUAUUCUUGGUCUGAUGUGUCUUAAUUGUUGUUAAGGUAAAUUGAAUAAACCUAACAGGGACAAACAACGAAGCUCCUCUCUCACGGGUUUCUUUACUGUUUUCAGAUUUUCCAUGCUGAUAUCCGUGCAGCAGAGUUGAAGCAGACCUGUCAGAAAACAUCUCUAAGGUGCUAUGAAUCUCAUAACUAGAUACACAUCAUAAGAUAACUAGAGCUUACGGCUCUGUUUGGAUCCAGUCUCACUUUUGAAGACUUCAGAUGACGUAAACACUCACAAGGACAUAUGAUGGCAUCUAUAGAUGGACAUACACAACUGGCAAAUGUAAUAUAUUGUAAUUACUGCACCAAAGCGCAACUCUGCAGAUUUUCA